UACAGAGGUCUCAAGCGUUGUUCGGAUUCAUUGGGCGUAAAGGGUGCGUAGGUGGCGCCGUAAGUCAGGUGUGAAAUUUCGGAGCUUAACUCCGAAACUGCAUUCGAUACUGCGGUGCUUGAGGACUGGAGAGGAGACUGGAAUUUAUGGUGUAGCAGUGAAAUGCGUAGAGAUCAUAAGGAAGACCAGUGGCGAAGGCGGGUCUCUGGACAGUUCCUGACACUGAGGCACGAAGGCCAGGGGAGCAAACGGG
rnacentral:rRNA from 1 species